GCCGGCGUAGCUCAGUGGUAGAGCAGCUGAUUUGUAAUCAGCCGGUCAUCCGUUCGAAUCGGAUCGCCGGCUCCA
rnacentral:tRNA from 1 species